rnacentral:rRNA from 1 species
AGCAGUAGCCGCGGUAAUACGGAGGGUGCAAGCGUUAAUCGGAAUUACUGGGCGUAAAGCGUGCGUAGGCGGUUCGUUAAGUCUGUUGUGAAAGCCCCGGGCUCAACCUGGGAAUGGCAAUGGAUACUGGCGAGCUAGAGUGUGUCAGAGGAUGGUGGAAUUCCCGGUGUAGCGGUGAAAUGCGUAGAGAUCGGGAGGAACAUCAGUGGCGAAGGCGGCCAUCUGGGACAACACUGACGCUGAGGCACGAAAGCGUGGGGAGCAAACAGGAUUAGAUACCCCAGUAGUCCCUGUCUCUUAUAC